GACGAACGCUGGCGGCGUGCUUAACACAUGCAAGUCGAACGAAGUGGCGAACGGGUGAGUAAUACGUGAGUAACCUGCCCUCCGUUUUGGGAUAAGCCUUGGAAACGGGGUCUAAUACCGGCUAAAGGGGGAUGGGCUCGCGGCCUGUUAGCUUGUUGGUGGGUUGAUGGCCUACCAAGGCGGUGCCGGGUAGCGGGCCUGAGAGGGCGACCGGCCACAUUGAGACGGAGAGAAGGCCCAGGCUACUACGGGAGGGAGAAGUGGGGGAAAUUGGACAAUGUGCGAAAGACUGAUGCAGCGACUCCGCGUGGGGGAUGAAGGCUUUCGGGUUGUAAACCUCUUUCGCUAGCGAACGGGUAGGUGGAGAAGAAGCGCCGGCUAACUACGUGCCAGCAGCCGCGGUAAUAC
rnacentral:rRNA from 1 species